GAUGAACGCUGGCGGCGUGCUUAACACAUGCAAGUCGAGCGAGAAACUACAUGCAGACACUUCGGUAGAAGCGAGUAGCGGAAAGCGGCGGACGGGUGAGUAACGCGUAGGCAACCUGCCCUUCACAGAGGUAUAGCCUCGGGAAACCGGGAUUAAAACCACAUAAAAUCAUAGGUUCGCAUGAACCAAAGGUCAAAGAUUUAUCGGUGAAGGAUGGGCCUGCGUCUGAUUAGCUGGUUGGUAGGGUAAAAGCCUACCAAGGCGACGAUCAGUAGCCGACCUGAGAGGGUGAUCGGCCACAUUGGAACUGAGACACGGUCCAAACUCCUACGGGAGGCAGCAGUGGGGGAUAUUGCACAAUGGGGGAAACCCUGAUGCAGCAACGCCGCGUGAGGUAUGAAGGCCUUUGGGUUGUAAGCCUCUGUCCUAGGGGAAGAAAAAAAUGACGGUACCCGAGGAGGAAGC
rnacentral:rRNA from 1 species